CUACGGGCGGCACCAGGCGAGAAAACUUUGCAAUGUGCGAAAGCACGACAAGGUUAAUCCGAGUGGUUUGUGCUAAACGAACCUUUUGACAGUCCUAGAAACACUGUUGAAUAAGGGGUGGGCAAGUUCUGGUGUCAGCCGCCGCGGUAAAACCAGCACCUCAAGUGUCAGGAUGAUUAUUGGGCCUAAAACAUCCGUAGCCGGCUCUGUAAGUUUUCGGUUAAAUCUGUACGCUCAACGUACAGGCUGCCGGGAAUACUGCAGAGCUAGGGAGUGGGAGAGGUAGACGGUACUCGGUAGGAAGGGGUAAAAUCCUUUGAUCUAUUGAUGACCACCUGUGGCGAAGGCGGUCUACCAGAACACGUCCGACGGUGAGGGAUGAAAGCUGGGGGAGCAAACCGGAUUAGAUACCCCGGUAGUC
rnacentral:rRNA from 1 species